CACAUGGUGGGGCUAUAAAGUUGCUGGAAACAUGGCUAAGUUUCUAUUUUCUCAAAGUUUCACGAAAAAGUAGCGGCAAGAUUCCCUCUUUUUUUUCGAAAUCCCUCUUUUUAUUGCCACCUAUAUUUAGUUUUCCCCUAUUUCCCUCCUCAUAUCUUAUUAUAUGCACUUCAUACCCCCAAUCAAACCCCUGCCCAAGUAAAAUCUUCUAUAUUUUCAUCUCUCUCUCUCUCUCUCUCCGUGUGUGUAUGUGUCUUCUCCAAAAAAUAAUUUGUUGAUUUAAUACCAUAGAAGAUCAAAUCUACGAUGGCAGACAUCUUAAGACAAGGUAUAUAAUCUACUUUACUUUCAAUAUGUAUUUAGAACAUUACAAAUUUGGAUUUCUCCCGGUGCUAUAUGACGUGUAUGUAUUAGUAUGUUCCUAUUUAUUUUUAAUUUUCCUGUACUGGUAUGAAAUUUCUUAUCUACUCGUCUUUGAUUUUUGAGAGGUUAAUUACUCAUUAUAUCUCUUGGUCUGAAUUCUUGUGGUUGUAGCCAAAGAAGAAUUGGAGUAAGUAUCUCAAUCACUACUUAUUUCUCUAUUUAUUGUUUUAUUAAUAUUUAAUUUAUUAUUAACAUUUAAAAUAUAUGUUUUCUAAUUCAUUUGAUAAAAAAAUAAGUACUAAAAUUACAAUUUUUUUUCUUUUUUUAAGGUACAUAAAGAUGGAAAUAUAUUCAAGAGUGAAGUUAUUAGCACUAGCAUUUGGGGAAGCAACAUACUUUAUUCUUUUGUUAAAAUCAAUAUUCAUGUAUUUCAAUUGGACUUUGN
rnacentral:lncRNA from 1 species